rnacentral:lncRNA from 1 species
CAUAAAAUCAAGUAUUUCCGAUGAUACAUUUAAGUUUUCUUUAAAAGUGUGUGAGACAAAUAAAUGUGAAGCACUAAUAUCAAUCAAAACAUGUGCAAGGUGAUUACAGAUAGUGUACGUACCCUGUAUCACGUCUGGACUGACUUCAACAUCCUGUUGAGUUAGGUUGUAAGCUCUGCCUUGCAUAGGAGGUCUAGUCUGAUUCUGAUUCUGUGGGCGCUCUCU